GAGAGGGCGAACGGCCACAUUGGGACUGAGACACGGCCCAAACUCCUACGGGAGGCAGCAGUAGGGAAUUUUCGUCAAUGGGGGGAACCGUGAACGAGCAAUGCCGCGUGAGUGAAGACGGUUUUCGCACUGUAAAGCUCUGUUGUAAGAGAAAAACGGCCGACAUAGGGAAUGAGUCGGAGUGAUGGUAUCUUACCAGAAAGU
rnacentral:rRNA from 1 species